rnacentral:snRNA from 1 species
UUGCUUUGGCAGCAUUUAUACUAAAAUUGGAACUAUACAGAGAAGAUUAGUGUGGCUCCUGUGCAAAGAUGACAUAGAAAUUUGUGAAGUGUUCCAUAUUAAA